AACGCAUAUUGCACUCUUUGGUAUUCCGAAGAGUAUGCUUGUUUGAGUAUCUGUAAACAACUCAAGCCUCUUUUAUUGUUACACAAGAAAAAGGGGCUUGGACUUGAGCGAUCCUGUGUGACUUUGUCACGAAAAUUGCACGGGCCGCUUGAAAUUCAGGUACAAAAGGAUCAACUUCUGAGCUAAAAGCAUAUUCAUUUAGUCCCGUAAAAAAGGAUUAUAUUUUUUGCUUCAGCUAACAUAAAGGUUGAUGAUCUAUAUUUUUGUCGAAUCGCAGAAACCUCGUCUUUUACAUUAGUAGAGACUUGUAAACUCGAUCUCAAAUCAAGUAAGACUACCCGCUGAACUUAA
rnacentral:misc_RNA from 1 species